rnacentral:rRNA from 1 species
UACGUAGGGCGCAAGCGUUGUCCGGAAUUAUUGGGCGUAAAGAGCUCGUAGGCGGCCAGUUGCGUCCGCUGUGAAAUCCCGGGGCUUAACCCCGGGCGUGCAGUGGAUACGGGCUGGCUAGAGGCAGGCAGGGGAGAACGGAAUUCCCGGUGUAGCGGUGAAAUGCGCAGAUAUCAGGAGGAACACCUGUGGCGAAAGCGGCUCACUGGACCAUUACUGACGCUGAUGCUCGAAAGCUAGGGGAGCAAACAGG